rnacentral:rRNA from 1 species
GCAGCCGAGCGCAGGAACUGACGGAACUCUUCGGAGGGAAGGCAGUGGAAUGAGCGGCGGACGGGUGAGUAACACGUAAGGAACCUGCCUCAAGGAUUGGGAUAACUCCGAGAAAUCGGAGCUAAUACCGGAUAGUUCAUCGGACCGCAUGGUCCGUUGAUGAAAGGCGCUCCGGCGUCACCUUGAGAUGGCCUUGCGGUGCAUUAGCUAGUUGGUGGGGUAACGGCCCACCAAGGCGACGAUGCACAGCCGACCUGAGAGGGUGAUCGGCCACACUGGGACUGAGACACGGCCCAGACUCCUACGGGAGGCAGCAGUAGGGAAUCUUCCACAAUGGACGAAAGUCUGAUGGAGCAACGCCGCGUGAGUGAUGAAGGUUUUCGGAUCGUAAAACUCUGUUGUAAGGGAAGAAUAGGUACGAGAGGAAAUGCUCGUACCUUGACGGUACCUUACGAGAAAGCCACGGCUAACUACGUGCCAGCAGCCGCGGUAAUACGUAGGUGGCAAGCGUUGUCCGGAAUUAUUGGGCGUAAAGCGCGCGCAGGCGGCCUUUUAAGUCUGAUGUGAAAGCCCCCGGCUCAACCGGGGAGGGCCAUUGGAAACUGGAAGGCUUGAGUACAGAAGAGAAGAGUGGAAUUCCACGUGUAGCGGUGAAAUGCGUAGAGAUGUGGAGGAACACCAGUGGCGAAGGCGACUCUUUGGUCUGUAACCGACGCUGAGGCGCGAAAGCGUGGGGAGCAAACAGGAUUAGAUACCCUGGUAGUCCACGCCGUAAACGAUGAGUGCUAGGUGUUGGGGGGUUUCCGCCC